UGUUGGUUCUAUUCAGUGUGUGUUGUUGGUUCUAUUCAGUGUGUGUUGUCGGUUCUAUUCAGUGUGUUGUUGGUUCUAUUCAGUGUGUGUUGUUGGUUCUAUUCAGUGUGUGUUGUUGGUUCUAUUCACUGUGUGUUCUCGGUUCUAUUCAGUGUGUCUUGUCGGUUCUAUUCAGUGUGUCUUGUUGGUUCUAUUCAGUGUGUGUUGUUGGUUCUAUUCAGUGCGUGUUCUCGGUUCUAUUCAGUGUGUGUUGUUGGUUCUAUUCAGUGUGUGUUGUUGGUUCUAUUCAGUGUGUGUGGUUCUAUUCAGUGUGUGUUGUUGGUUCUAUUCAGUGUGUGUGGUUCUAUUCAGUGUGUGUUGUUGGUUCUAUUCAGUGUGUGUUGUUGGUUCUAUUCAGUGUGUGUGGUUCUAUUCAGUGUGUGUUGUUGGUUCUAUUCAGUGUGUGUGGUUCUAUUCAGUGUCUCUUGUUGGUUCUAUUCAGUGUGUGUUGUUGGUUCUAUUCAGUGUGUGUUGUUGGUUCUAUUCAGUGUGUGUUCUCGGUUCUAUUCAGUGUGUGUUGUUGGUUCUAUUCAGUGUGUGUUGUUGGUUCUAUUCAGUGUGUGUUCUUGGUUCUAUUCAGUGUGUGUUCUCGGUUCUAUUCAGUGUGUGUUUUUGGUUCUAUUCAGUGUGUCUUGUUGGUUCUAUUCAGUGUGUGUUCUCGGUUCUAUUCAGUGUGUGUUGUUGGUUCUAUUCAGUGUGUGUUCUUGGUUCUAUUCAGUUUGUGUUCUCGGUUCUAUUCAGUGUGUGUUGUUGGUUCUAUUCAGUGUGUGUGGUUCUAUUCACUGUGUGUUGUUGGUUCUAUUCAGUGUGUGUGGUUCUAUUCAGUGUGUGUUCUCGGUUCUAUUCAGUGUGUCUUGUUGGUUCUAUUCAGUGUGUGUUCUUGGUUCUAUUCAGUGAGUGUUCUCGGUUCUAUUCAGUGUGUGUUCUCGGUUCUAUUCAGUGUGUGUUCUCGGUUCUAUUCAGUGUGUCUUGUUGGUUCUAUUCAGUGUGUGUUCUCGGUUCUAUUCAGUGUGUGUUUUUGGUUCUAUUCAGUGUGUGUUUUUGGUUCUAUUCAGUGUGUGUUGUUGGUUCUAUUCAGUGUGUGUUCUCGGUUCUAUUCAGUGUGUCUUGUUGGUUCUAUUCAGUGUGUGUUCUCGGUUCUAUUCAGUGUGUGUUCUCGGUUCUAUUCAGUGUGUGUUUUUGGUUCUAUUCAGUGUGUGUUCUUGGUUCUAUUCAGUGUGUGUUCUUGGUUCUAUUCAGUGUGUGUUUUUGGUUCUAUUCAGUGUGUCUUGUUGGUUCUAUUCAGUGUGUGUUCUCGGUUCUAUUCAGUGUGUCUUGUUGGUUCUAUUCAGUGUGUCUUGUUGGUUCUAUUCAGUGUGUGUUCUCGGUUCUAUUCAGUGUGUGUUGUUGGUUCUAUUUAGUGUGUGUGGUUCUAUUCAGUGUCUCUUGUUGGUUCUAUUCAGUGUGUCUUGUUGGUUCUAUUCAGUGUGUGUUCUCGGUUCUAUUCAGUGUGUGUUCUUGGUUCUAUUCAGUGUGUCUUGUUGGUUCUAUUCAGUGUGUGUUCUCGGUUCUAUUCAGUGUGUCUUGUUGGUUCUAUUCAGUGUGUGUUCUCGGUUCUAUUCAGUGUGUGUUCUCGGUUCUAUUCAGUAUGUGUUCUUGGUUCUAUUCAGUGUGUCUUGUUGGUUCUAUUCAGUGUGUCUUGUUGGUUCUAUUCAGUGUGUGUUCUCGGUUCUAUUCAGUGUGUGUUCUUGGUUCUAUUCAGUGUGUCUUGUUGGUUCUAUUCAGUGUGUGUUCUUGGUUCUAUUCAGUGUGUCUUGUUGGUUCUAUUCAGUGUGUCUUGUUGGUUCUAUUCAGUGUGUGUUCUUGGUUCUAUUCAGUGUGUGUUCUUG
rnacentral:lncRNA from 1 species